AUUUUAUUAGUAUAACUAGUACAUCUAAUUUCCAAUUAGGAAGUUUUUCAAUAAAUAAAAUA
rnacentral:tRNA from 1 species